rnacentral:rRNA from 1 species
GAUGAACGCUGGCGGCGUGCCUAACACAUGCAAGUCGAGCGAUUUACUUCGGUAAAGAGCGGCGGACGGGUGAGUAACGCGUGGGUAACCUGCCCUGUACACACGGAUAACAUACCGAAAGGUAUGCUAAUACGAGAUAAUAUGCUUUUAUCGCAUGGUAGAAGUAUCAAAGCUCCGGCGGUACAGGAUGGACCCGCGUCUGAUCAGCUAGUUGGUAAGGUAACGGCUUACCAAGGCGACGAUCAGUAGCCGACCUGAGAGGGUGAUCGGCCACAUUGGAACUGAGACACGGUCCAAACUCCUACGGGAGGCAGCAGUGGGGAAUAUUGCACAAUGGGCGAAAGCCUGAUGCAGCAACGCCGCGUGAGCGAUGAAGGCCUUCGGGUCGUAAAGCUCUGUCCUCAAGGAAGAUAAUGACGGUACUUGAGGAGGAAGCCCCGGCUAACUACGUGCCAGCAGCCGCAGUAA